CUAUACAUGACUCUGCGCAUAUCAAUAAGCGGAGGAAAAGAAACUAACAAGGAUUCCCUUAGUAACGGCGAGUGAAGCGGGAAGAGCUCAAAUUUGAAAUCUUCAAGGUUUUACCUUGACGAAUUGUAGUUUAAAGAAGUGUUUUCUGCUGAAGUUUUGGUAAAAGUUCUUUGGAAUAGGACAUCAUAGAGGGUGAGAAUCCCGUAUUUGACCUUUACUUUCAACUUUGUGAUACACUUUCAAAGAGUCGGAUUGUUUGGGAAUGCAGUCCAAAAUGGGUGGUAAAUUUCAUCUAAAGCUAAAUAUUGGCGAGAGACCGAUAGCGAACAAGUACCGUGAGGGAAAGAUGAAAAGAACUUUGAAAAGAGAGUUAAACAGUACGUGAAAUUGUCAAAAGGGAAGCGUUUGACACCAGUGUUGUUUUUCUGAAAAUCAAUUAAAGAACUGUUUAUGCUAAGUUGUUUAGACUUUAUCAGCUAACUGUUUAGUUUUGAGCUUUUCUUUAAUGCACUUUUCAGUUAACAAGUCAACAUCAAUUUCUUUUGCUGUAAAAAAGCUUGAGGAAGGUGGCUUGAGAUUCGUCUUAAGUGUUUAUAGCCUCUUGCCUAUGCAGUCGGAGAGAUUGAGGUCUGCAGCGUAGAUCCUUCGGGGCUAAAUGCAUUUGUGCUAAGUUAUAGCAUUUUAUAGACAACUUGUUGACUAUGAUUUGUCUUGUAGCUUACUCGCUUAUGUUAUUUUACCUACGCUUAGGAUGUUGACAGCAGUAUAGACUGU
rnacentral:rRNA from 1 species